GACGAACGCUGGCGGCGUGCUUAACACAUGCAAGUCGAACGAUGAAGUUAUGACGGAGGCUUCGGCCGACAGAAUAACGGAAUAGUGGCGGACGGGUGAGUAACGCGUGAGUAACCUGCCUUUCAGAGAGGAAUAACAUUUGGAAACGAAUGGUAAUACCACAUAACAUUACGUUCUCGCAUGGGGAUGUAAUCAAAGAUUUUAUCGCUGAGAGAUGGACUCGCGUCCGAUUAGCUGGAUGGUGAGGUAACGGCCACCAUGGCGACGAUCGGUAGCCGGACUGAGAGGUUGAACGGCCACAUUGGGACUGAGACACGGCCCAGACUCCUACGGGAGGCAGCAGUGGGGAAUAUUGCACAAUGGGGGAAACCCUGAUGCAGCAACGCCGCGUGAAGGAAGACGGUCUUCGGAUUGUAAACUUUGUCUUGGUGAAGAAAAAUGACGGUAGCCAAGGAGGAAGCCACGGCUAACUACGUGCCAGCAGCCG
rnacentral:rRNA from 1 species